GAUGAACGCUGGCGGCGUGCCUAAUACAUGCAAGUCGAGCGAACAGACGAGGAGCUUGCUCCUCUGACGUUAGCGGCGGACGGGUGAGUAACACGUGGAUAACCUACCUAUAAGACUGGGAUAACUUCGGGAAACCGGAGCUAAUACCGGAUAAUAUAUUGAACCGCAUGGUUCAAUAGUGAAAGACGGUUUUGCUGUCACUUAUAGAUGGAUCCGCGCCGCAUUAGCUAGUUGGUAAGGUAACGGCUUACCAAGGCAACGAUGCGUAGCCGACCUGAGAGGGGGAUCGCCCAAGCUGGACAUGAGACACGGUCACGCUUCCUCGGGGAGGCAGAGGUGGGUAUUCUUCGGAAAUGGGCGAAAGCGUAAAGGACAACUGCCGGGUAAGUAAUGAAGGUCUUCGAAUCGUAAACAUCUGUUAUUAGGGAAAAAAAAAUGUGUAAGUAACUUUGACCGCCUUGACGGUACUUAACAAAAAAGCACCGGCUACCUACGU
rnacentral:rRNA from 1 species